rnacentral:rRNA from 1 species
AAAGCCUGACGCAGCGACGCCGCGUGAGGGAUGAAGGUUUUCGGAUCGUAAACCUCUGUCAGAAGGGAAGAAACCGCACCGUGCUAAUCAGCGGUGCCUUGACGGUACCUUCAAAGGAAGCACCGGCUCACUCCGUGCCAGCAGCCGCGGUAAUACGGAGGGUGCAAGCGUUAAUCGGAAUUACUGGGCGUAAAGCGCACGUAGGCGGACUUUUAAGUCAGGUGUGAAAUCCCGGGGCUCAACCUCGGAACUGCAUUUGAAACUGGAAGUCUGGAGAUCAGGAGAGGUUAGCGGAAUACCGAGUGUAGAGGUGAAAUUCGUAGAUAUUCGGUGGAACACCAGCGGCGAAGGCGGCUAACUGGACUGAUACUGACGCUGAGGUGCGAAAGUGUGGGGAGCAAACA